rnacentral:rRNA from 1 species
GAUGAACGCUGGCGGCGUGCCUAAUACAUGCAAGUCGAGCGAACGGACGAGAAGCUUGCUUCUCUGAUGUUAGCGGCGGACGGGUGAGUAACACGUGGAUAACCUACCUAUAAGACUGGGAUAACUUCGGGAAACCGGAGCUAAUACCGGAUGAUAUUUUGAACCGCAUGGUUCAAAAGUGAAAGACGGUCUUUCUGUCACUUAUAGAUGGAUCCGCGCUGCAUUAGCUAGUUGGUAAGGUAACGGCUUACCAAGGCAACGAUGCAUAGCCGACCUGAGAGGGUGAUCGGCCACACUGGAACUGAGACACGGUCCAGACUCCUACGGGAGGCAGCAGUAGGGAAUCUUCCGCAAUGGGCGAAAGCCUGACGGAGCAACGCCGCGUGAGUGAUGAAGGUCUUCGGAUCGUAAAACUCUGUUAUUAGGUAAGAACAUAUGUGUAAGUAACUGUGCACAUCUUGACGGUACCUAAUCAGAAAGCCACGGCUAACUACGUG